AUUGAACGCUGGCGGCAGGCCUAACACAUGCAAGUCGAGCGGCAGCGGGAAAGUAGCUUGCUACUUUUGCCGGCGAGCGGCGGACGGGUGAGUGAUGCCUGGGGAUCUGCCCAGUCGAGGGGGAUAACUACUGGAAACGGUAGCUAAUACCGCAUACGCCCUACGGGGGAAAGCAGGGGACCUUCAGGCCUUGCGCGAUUGGAUGAACCCAGGUGGGAUUAGCUAGUUGGUGAGGUAAUGGCUCACCAAGGCGACGAUCCCUAGCUGGUCUGAGAGGAUGAUCAGCCACACUGGAACUGAGACACGGUCCAGACUCCUACGGGAGGCAGCAGUGGGGAAUAUUGCACAAUGGGGGAAACCCUGAUGCAGCCAUGCCGCGUGUGUGAAGAAGGCCUUCGGGUUGUAAAGCACUUUCAGCGAGGAGGAAAGGUUGGUAGCUAAUAACUGCCAGCUGUGACGUUACUCGCAGAAGAAGCACCGGCUAACUCCGUGCCAGCCGCCGCAGUAA
rnacentral:rRNA from 1 species